rnacentral:rRNA from 1 species
UGAUCCAGCAACGCCGCGUGGAGGACGAAGGUCUUCGGAUCGUAAACUCCUGUCAGAUGGGAAGAAUGGGCGUCGGCAAAUAGCCGACGUUCUUGACUGUACCAUCAGAGGAAGCCCCGGCUAACUCUGUGCCAGCAGCCGCGGUAAUACAGAGGGGGCAAGCGUUAUUCGGAAUUAUUGGGCGUAAAGGGCGCGUAGGC